UAAAAGAUUGCUCUGUGCCUGCUGAGAUGUGCCAAGAAGGGCCCACAUCACACUUGUGGUGUCUCCAACCAAGCCGUACAAGCCAAAUCUAACCACGGGGACAUCAGAAAAUCCCAAUGGAGGCCCUGUGUUGGUAAGCUUCCUUCUGUGACAACAAAGCCUGAGGUGACCGCUCAGAAAGGGACAGGUUUAUUUCGGCAGGCUGUUUGGAGCUUUCAGCCUAUGAUCUGCUGCCCCCUGCUCUGAGCCUGUGGUGAGGCUGCACGUCCUGGAGAAUGCACGGUGAAGCGAAGUGUGGGAGACACAAAGCCCAGUGGUCCAUUUUCAGAAUAGAGCCUUAAUGGAUCUAAUCCCCUUUCCCGCCCCAGUUUUAAAAUUAGCUAGUCGCUAAUUUUAUCACUGAGUUCCCCAAUCAGGAUAUGGCCACCCAGACAUGCUUACUAGCCAGGUUCCCCUCAAACACCUUUUGACAGGAGUAAAUGCCUUGCCCACCCACUUUCCAGCUCAUGCCCAAUUUCUUAUGGCACCUCAGUAUUUUUAAUAAAACCCAUUAACUUCAUGGCCAGGAAGCAAAACUGAAAAAGGAAAAGGGGCUGGAGUCCCACUAAUCUCUUCAAGGGUGCCCCCCAAUGACCUAACACCCACUAACUAGGCUCUCCCUCUUAAAGCUUGCACUGUCUCCCAUAACACCAAGGACCGAGCCUUUAACGCAUGACCUUUGGAGGACACUCCAGAUCCAAGCUGUAGUGAAGGUAUUCCUCAGAAGAAUGGGCCCACCCCAUACUCCACCCAAGUGUCAAGAUCAUGAAAGACGGUUCCAGAUAGAAAGAAACUAAGGGGACCUGACAAUUAAAAGGAACAGGUAGCCUGGGUUGGAUCCAGGACCAGAUAAAAGUGAGACUACUGGCAAGUUAGGUCUGCCCAUUAGAUAACAGUUACAACAAUGUCCAUCUUCUGAUUUCUUUAAAAAAAUAUUUUUAUUAAUGCACAUGGCUAUGUAGCAGAAUGUUCUUGGUUUUAAGAAAUACACACUAAGGGGCAUUCUGCACUGUAAAAUAUUUCAGAAGAAAAAUCAUACAUAUACAUACGCAGACAUGAUUUUUUAAAAUCCUACCUAUAUACAUAUAUUUCAAGAAGAGCAGGAAUGGUAAAGACAAAUGAAAACAUCAAGUCAUUCUAACAUUAGGGGAAAUCAGAAGGAUAAGCUGAAAUUCCUUCUACUACUUUUGCACCUUUUUUUCCAAGUCUGCACAAACCUGUGUUUAGAUGGGGGGUUUUGCUUUUGUUUUGGUGCAGGGGAUUGGGCUCAGGGUCCUGCAUAUACUCAGUGGCUGCAAUUCUGAUAAAAUGCAAGUUAAGCAUAGGUUAGCAAUCCACUUUGCAAAGGCAAGUAUCUACGUAAACUGCCAAGCCAUGAUGUCCAGGCUCACAGACGCCUGGAUGGUAGUGCUGGCAACAUCCCCUAUGCCUAUCUCAUUGAGUGCUUUCCUGUUUCUCUUACCUCUAUGAUGACGACCUUUGCAAAUUCUGCUUGGGCCAGUAAGGGACGCGUGCAGCUAACAAACCAGCCACCUGGGAGCACCAUGUAACAGGAUGGGUACUAGAGCUCCUGGCUUGACCUAUUUUCCAUGACUUGUGUGGCAGGGUGCCUCUGGUACUCUUCCACCCAGAAGCGCACAGUGGCAAGUGUAAAUUUUUGCUUCAAUUACUUUUGGAAAACAAGAAAAAAAAAUAUGUGUGUAUGUAUAUAUGUGAGUGUACAUACACACAUACACAUAUUUGCGCGCAAAUGGCAUUAUACUACAUGUAAAACCUCUCUGUAGGAUUACGUAAUAGUGUUGAAGUACAUAAAGCCAGCAUCGCGUCCUUCUUUAGUGACUGCUUUUCUCCACAUUGCCCUUUCGGGAUCUCCUGAGCCCUAUUAACACGUGGUCUGCCUGCCUUUUAAAGGCCAGGCGGCGGGGAGGGCGGUCACUGGAUGCCCGCGAAUUUAACGCCAGGGCCUCUCCCGAACCAUGGAAACCCGAGGCCGGGGUGGGGUCGGCCCGUGCGCACGGAUGGCCGCAGCAUCAGGUCGCGGACAAUGCCUGCAGCUCUGGGCUCGGGCCACCGGGCCUGCUGGGGAGCAGAACGAUCCUGGCCGGCCCGCCGGGCGCAGCAGGCCGCCUCCGCCCAGGGCGCGGCCGGGGCGAGGGGAGCGGGC
rnacentral:lncRNA from 1 species